rnacentral:rRNA from 1 species
UACGUAGGGUGCAGGCGUUAAUCGGAAUUACUGGGCGUAAAGCGUGCGCAGGCGGUCUCUUAAGUCAGAUGUGAAAGCCCCGGGCUUAACCUGGGAACUGCGUUUGAAACUGGGAGACUUGAGUGUGGCAGAGGGGGGUGGAAUUCCACGUGUAGCAGUGAAAUGCGUAGAGAUGUGGAGGAACACCGAUGGCGAAGGCAGCCCCCUGGGUCAAGAUUGACGCUCAUGCACGAAAGCGUGGGGAGCAAACAGG